rnacentral:rRNA from 1 species
GGGGCAACCCUGAUCCAGCCAUGCCGCGUGUGUGAAGAAGGCCUUCGGGUUGUAAAGCACUUUCAGCUGUGAGGAAAGGCGAGUGGUUAAUACCCGCUUGCUGUGACGUUAACAGCAGAAGAAGGACCGGCUAACUCCGUGCCAGCAGCCGCGGUAAUAAGGAGGGUCCGAGCGUUAAUCGGAAUUACUGGGCGUAAAGCGCGCGUAGGUGGUUCAGUCAGUCAUAUGUGAAAGCCCCGGGCUCAACCUCGGAAAAGCACCUGAUAAUGCUGAGCUUGAGUACUGUAGAGGGUAGUGGAAUAUCUGGUGUAGCGGUGAAAUGAGUAGAGAUUGGAAGGAACACCAGCGGCGAAGGAGGCUACCUGGACCGACACUGACGACGAGGUGCGAAAGCGUGGGUAGCAAACAGCAUGAGAUACCCUGGUAGUCCACCCCGUAAUCGAUGUCAACUAGCCGUGGGGGACUCGUCCUCAGUGACGCAAGCUAACG